GGCUCGGUAGCUUAAUUGGUAAAGCACUCGUCUAGCAUACAAAAGUCGUGAGUUUGAAUCCCACGCGAGCAA
rnacentral:tRNA from 1 species